rnacentral:rRNA from 1 species
GUGAGGAAUAUUGCGCAAUGGAGGCAACUCUGACGCAGCCAUGCCGCGUGCAGGAAGUAGGCGCUACGCGUUGUAAACUGCUUUUAACCGGGAAGAAACCCCAGGACGUGUCCUGGGUUGACGGUACCGGAGGAAUAAGCACCGGCUAACUUCGUGCCAGCAGCCGCGGUAAUACGAAGGGUGCAAGCGUUAUCCGGAUUCAUUGGGUUUAAAGGGUGCGUAGGCGGAGCGUUAGGUCAGUGGUGAAAUCCUGCAGCUUAACUGUAGACUUGCCAUUGAUACUGGCGCUCUUGAGUGCGCUUGAAGUGGGCGGAAUGUGCCGUGUAGCGGUGAAAUGCUUAGAUAUGGCACAGAACACCAAUUGCGAAGGCAGCUCACUAAGGCGAUACUGACGCUGAGGCACGAAAGCGUGGGGAUCGAACAGGAUUAGAAACCCUGGUAGUCC